UGGGGAAUAUUGCACAAUGGGCGCAAGCCUGAUGCAGCCAUGCCGCGUGUGUGAAGAAGGCCUUCGGGUUGUAAAGCACUUUCAGCGGGGAGGAAGGCGGUGAGGUUAAUAACCUCAUCGAUUGACGUUACCCGCAGAAGAAGCACCGGCUAACUCCGUGCCAGCAGCCGCGGUAAUACGGAGGGUGCAAGCGUUAAUCGGAAUUACUGGGCGUAAAGCGCACGCAGGCGGUCUGUCAAGUCGGAUGUGAAAUCCCCGGGCUCAACCUGGGAACUGCAUUGGAAACUGGCAGGCUAGAGUCUUGUAGAGGGGGGUAGAAUUCAAGGGGUAGCGGUGAAAUGCGUAGAGAUCUGGAGGAAUACCGGUGGCGAAGGCGGCCCCCUGGACAAAGACUGACGCUCAGGUGCGAAAGCGUGGGGAGCAAACAGG
rnacentral:rRNA from 1 species